AGCAGCCGCGGUAAUUCCAGCUCCAAUAGCGUAUAUUAAAGUUGUUGCGGUUAAAAAGCUCGUAGUUAGAUUUUUGGCAUCCGCUACUGGUCGGCCGUAAGGCUGUACCUAGUAAGCGGGUGCCUUCGCUGGUGUUGCACCGCAUCCGUGCAGUGCAAGGCCGGCUCUUUACUUUGAGGAAAUUAGAGUGUUUCAAGCAGGUUUCUGCCUUGAAUACAUUAGCAUGGAAUAAUGAAAUAGGACGGAUUGAUUCUAUUUCGUUGGUUUCUAGGAUCACCGUA
rnacentral:rRNA from 1 species